UACUUGUACUCAUCCAGUCAGCUGUCAGGGUACAGCGAUGUAAGCCAAUGGGAUGGGAUCUUCACAGUGGCAGUGUACGGCUGAUAAGGAGCUCUCCCUGAUCUGGCCUCGCGAAUCACUCUGGCUAGUCUGGGUCCCCACUGACUACCCAGGAUGAAAAUAAUGCAAGAGGCUGCUCCAGAAAGGGCCUCAACCCCGCCGUCUCAUCUGCUCAGCCUUUUGUAAACAAACCAAAAAGAAGCACUUGGGCUUAUAGAGCUGAGGACUUAUUUCCUUGUUGUGCUAAAACUCAUUUUGAAAGUAAAAACAGCAAUGAAGUAUAAAUUAAUAAAUGAUCAUAUUUUUUUCAAAUAUGUGUAAUGAUACACACAAUGCCUAGGGACAUACCAGGAUCUCACAAUAUUAAAAUGGGAUAAUUUUCUCAUCCAGAGGAAGUGUCUCACACAGCAUGUUUCAUUUGUUGUCAACGUUACUUCGUCAUGGCUAAAUUAGCAUUUAAGAACCCUCAUGGGUAUACAGUAGAUAAUAAAUAAAUGGUGAGUCAAAAACAAGAAGAACAGUAUGUAAGCACUGAACAGAACAUUUGAAGACACUGAGUAAAAAGUGUAAGUGAAAAGGUUUUCCUUUGUUUUUGAAGGAAUUUGAACUAGAUCAGCUGCACACCGUUAUCUAAAGCAUUUACACUGAUCGAACCAAAACUGAAAACUCUAUGAGUUGUGUUAAAAUAGUUUGUGAUCUACAAAACGACUGCUCUACCUACAACAAAAUAAUAAUCCAUCAACUUUUUUUUCUCCUGUAGACAUUUAGAUAAUGUAAACAUCAGAUUCCCAGCUUCAGCAGUUGGCCGUUUUGCUGUUAUCAAAAUAACUUGCACUGCUUAAAAUUAAAUAUUGAGCUCAAAGUCUUUUUUAGUGUAAAAUAAUUUGAUCAAGCCUGAAUAAUUCCAUACUGAUAUGAGAUUUAUUAAAAUUCAGUAAGUACAUUUUGGAGUCAAUCUUUUGUAUGGGUGACAUCAACAUGUUUUCUUUGUAGUAUUCAACACUAGGCCUGUUACAAUAAGCAGUAAAUCAAUUAAUCACAUGAUAUAUUAAAACAAGCUUAAUAAUAUCCAUUAGCAUUAUUUAUAGUUUUUCUCUCUCUAUUUCUAAACUGGAUGACAAAAGUCUUCAGCCUGGUUUAUUAGUUCUCAUCUAGCCAUUUUGUAAAGGACAAUUUUGUUUACAAAUAUUUUAUAAUUUAUUUUAUUUGUUGUUUUGGGUGUUUUUUGUUUGUUUCCUUUGGAUAUUCAAAAUGUCUUCUAGUACCAUUGUUAAAUGUUCAUUAAGAUUUUAAGUUUAUUGCUCUUUGA